rnacentral:tRNA from 1 species
UGGCUGAGUGGUAAAGCGCUUGGCUCCCAAACUGGGGGCCCAAGGUUCGAAUCCUGG